AUUGAACGCUGGCGGCAUGCCUUACACAUGCAAGUCGAACGGCAGCACGGGAGCAAUCCUGGUGGCGAGUGGCGAACGGGUGAGUAAUAUAUCGGAACGUGCCCGGUCGUGGGGAUAACGUAGCGAAAGCUACGCUAAUACCGCAUACGAUCUACGGAUGAAAGCGGGGGAUCGCAAGACCUCGCGCGAUUGGAGCGGCCGAUAUCAGAUUAGGUAGUUGGUGAGGUAAAGGCUCACCAAGCCGACGAUACUGUAGCUGGUCUGAGAGGAUGAUCAGCCACACUGGAACUGA
rnacentral:rRNA from 1 species